AUUCCAGCUCCAAUAGCGUAUACUAAAGUUGUUGCAGUUAAAAAGCUCGUAGUUGAAUUUCUGGUCUUGGACAGCGGUCUGCCUCAAACGAGGUACGCACCAUCCAUCCGAGUCCAUCCUCGGGGAAAACAUGUCUGUGAUUCAGUUCAUGGGCAUGGGAUCCUCGUCAUUUACUGUGAGCAAAAUAGAGUGUUCAAAGCAGGCUUAUGCCGUUGAAUAUUUUAGCAUGGAAUAAUAAGAUAAGACCUUGGUCUAUUUUGUUGGUUUGUACUCCAAGGUAAUGAUUAAUAGGGACAGUUGGGGGUAUUCGUAUUCAAUUGUCAGAGGUGAAAUUCUUGGAUUUAUUGAAGACGAACUACUGCGAAAGCAUUUACCAAGGAUGUUUUCAUUA
rnacentral:rRNA from 1 species